CAGCAGCCACGGGAAUACGUAGGGUGCAAGCGUUAAUCGGAAUUACUGGGCGUAAAGCGUGCGCAGGCGGUUAUAUAAGUCAGAUGUGAAAUCCCCGGGCUCAACCUGGGAACUGCAUUUGAGACUGUAUGGCUAGAGUGUGUCAGAGGGGGGUAGAAUUCCACGUGUAGCAGUGAAAUGCGUAGAUAUGUGGAGGAAUACCGAUGGCGAAGGCAGCCCCCUGGGAUAACACUGACGCUCAUGCACGAAAGCGUGGGGAGCAAACAGGAUUAGAUACCCCCGUGUCCCUGUCUCUUAUACA
rnacentral:rRNA from 1 species